UACGAAGGGGCUAGCGUUGCUCGGAAUCACUGGGCGUAAAGGGUGCGUAGGCGGGUCUUUAAGUCAGGGGUGAAAUCCUGGAGCUCAACUCCAGAACUGCCUUUGAUACUGAGGAUCUUGAGUUCGGGAGAGGUGAGUGGAACUGCGAGUGUAGAGGUGAAAUUCGUAGAUAUUCGCAAGAACACCAGUGGCGAAGGCGGGACUCACUGGCCCGAUACUGACGCUGAGCGCGAAAGCGUGGGGAGCGAGCCGG
rnacentral:rRNA from 1 species